AAACUAGGAAAGGAUGAAAAUUUCCUUGUUGUUUCGAGUUAAAAAAACAAAAACAAGGAGGAAUAAAAGCAAAGAGCUGAAUCUUAACCGUGACCGAACAAAAGUAGGACACAGUGUUUAUUCAAGCAUAACAAUACCCCUGUGACGUUGAGAAAUAAGCCUGGGCCUACUUUACGAUAAAUAAUUAUAAAAGUCUAGCCUCUAUCUUUGACGAACUACGAUCAGGAAGCUGGCUGUCAGAGUUGCGGCGACAGACCAGUCGGUUGAAAGCGUAGACACUUGUCGCAGGCAGUUGACAGUUGACAACGCAAUCGAUGAAUAAUAGCAUACGAAGUUGCGAUCGUGUUCUACGUAUAGCUUGCUAGAUCUGCAUACACGAAGAAACGCUUUCCAGAAAUUUUGUAAGUUUAAUUUAUCCAGAGAGUCUUUCGGAGCACAGAGUGAGUGAGAGAUGGCCGCAAUCAACUUCCAGUUAUCCUCGGAUUUUGGCUUCGUCAUCCUGGUUGUAGUGACCGGAUGGGUGUUCCUUCAGUAUUUGGCGAUGAAUGUUAUGAAAGCAAGAAAGAAGUACGAUGUGAAGUACCCAGCCUUAUACAGUGACAAAAGUCCCGAGUUCAACUGUGUGCAGAGAGCCCACCAGAAUACGUAAGGGUUUCUCACCUUUAGGGUUGGGGGGGGGGAGGGUUCAUUUUGAUGCCAGCCUGGUGAAUACAGUGACUUGCAUAGAGUCUGGCACAUAUAUUUUUUUUUAUUGUUGCCCGUUGUUGUUGUAAAGUUGUUAUCAGUCCAGUUUCUUGUUGCCCCUUGUUAUUAUCAAUUCAGUUUGUUGUUGUUGUUGUUAUCAGUUCAGUUUGUUGCCUGUUCAGUGUCUUGAUAUAUUACACCAAAAAAUAUACAUUGUACCCUCUCUCAAGAUCGUAGGCUUGUGGAAGGUAUAUAUAAGCGUUUUGUUUCAAUUGCUGUAAAUUUGUCUUUCUCUUAAUUUUUAAUGAAUGAGAAUAGUAUUAAACUCUUGCUUGUAUUUUGACCAAAAAAAGUUACACCAACUUUCAUGUAUAUUUUGACUACAUUUAGUCAAGAAAGAACUUUUGUUAGUGGGAGUGACCUUGGACAACACUGCUAGCUCAUAUUAAAUUAUGAUUCCCGUAUUUUAUUUUUUUCUUUCUAAUGGAAAUAGGGCCGGGGCUUGAUGCUUCACAUCCUUUUUGUUUUUUGUUGCUGUGCUAUUUCUUCUCAACACCCCCCCCCCCCCCCCCCCCCCCC